UAUAGCCUUGCGAAGUUUGUAAUUUUCAGUCAUUUUGUAUUAGGCGCAGAAGUGGUAACCAUUUCCCGUUUGUCUAAAAUGACUGAAAAUUGCAAACUUCGCAAUAUUAUCCGCACUUU